UACAGAGGGGGCAAGCGUUAUUCGGAAUUAUUGGGCGUAAAGGGCGCGUAGGCGGCCUGGCAAGUGGAAGGUGAAAUCCCUCGGCUUAACCGAGGAACUGCCCUCCAAACUGCUUGGCUUGAGUCCGGGAGAGGUGAGUGGAAUUCCCAGUGUAGCGGUGAAAUGCGCAGAUAUCAGGAGGAACACCAAUGGCGAAGGCAGCUCGCUGGGACGGUACUGACGCUGAGGCGCGAAAGCGUGGGGAGCAAACAGG
rnacentral:rRNA from 1 species